rnacentral:rRNA from 1 species
ACGUAGGGGGCGAGCGUUGUCCGGAAUGAUUGGGCGUAAAGGGCGCGUAGGCGGCCUGCUAAGUCUGGAGUGAAAGUCCUGCUUUCAAGGUGGGAAGUGCUUUGGAUACUGGUGGGCUGGAGUGCAGGAGAGGAAAGCGGAAUUAUCGGUGUAGCGGUGAAAUGCGUAGAGAUCGGUAGGAACACCAGUGGCGAAGGCGGCUUUCUGGACUGAAACUGACGCUGAGGCGCGAAAGCGUGGGGAGCAAACAG